rnacentral:rRNA from 1 species
AAUAUUGUACAAUAGGGGAAAACCUGAUGCAGAGAAACCGCGCGAGAGGAGAAGUAGUUUGGUAUGUAAAGCCCUAUUAGCAGGGAAGAAAAUGACGGUACCUGACUAAGAAGCUCCGGUCAACUUAGUGCCAGCACGCGCGGUAAUACGCAGGGGGCAAGCGUUAUACGGCUUUACUGGGUGUAAAGGGAGCGUAGGUAGUUCGGCAAGUCAGGUGUGAAAGCCCGGGGCUCAACCCCGGUACUUCAUGUAAAACUGGCGUACUAGAGGGCAGGAGAGGUAAGUGGAAUUCCUAGUGUAGCGGUGAAAUGCGUAAAUAUUAGGAAGAACACCAGUGGCGAAGGCGGCUUACUGGACUGUAACUGACACUGAGGCUCGAAAGCGUGGGGAGCAAACAGG